AGGAGUGUAGCUCAAUUGGUAGAGUACGGGUCUCCAAAACCCGGGGUUGUGGGUUCGAGUCCCACCGCUCCUGCCA
rnacentral:tRNA from 3 species